rnacentral:lncRNA from 1 species
CUAAUAACCAUGAACUCAUAACUCAUUCAGUUCAAGAGUUUUCAAAAGACCCACAUCAGGACUGGAUAAGUCUGUAUUCCUACGUGGUUGCAUUGUGCUUAUGCCAUGAAUGAUGUCAGAUCCAGAAAACAGAAGCCAAUGAAAACAGCAUAUUCUACAGCUACAACUCUCAGAGUUCCGGGAUGCCACGAAGGAAAUGUAACAGAGUGCUAUUUGAAAAUGGGAUUUAAUACCAAGGCUUGACACUAAGAAGGAUGAUGGUGUGAGAUGGUUAGCAUAUGUGACACUACCGGCUGAAAGCAGAGGCAUACAAUUUCUCCUGACAAAACCACAUCUACUACAAGCAGGAAGAAAGUUGCAUGCUACGCCUGAUAACUUCCUGAGAUCACCUUCCUGCACAUGUAGGAAAAAUCUUUCAGGUUGUGGAUCAAGUAGAUUUAAAACAAUCUUGGCUUCAUUUAGAACAUCUUUGCUUUCAAGAGACACCCUACAACAUAUUCCAAAGUCCAGUCUUUUAGUGUUUGCAAAUAUUAUUUGUUAAUUCUAUGAAGCUUUUAUUGUAAAGAAACAAACAAACAAAAUAUUUAAAUAUUGUGUAGAUUUGUUUGGAGAUCAGAAUAGUAAUGUCUAUGUGUAUGAAUGAUUAUUAUAGAAGUAUAAACUACUGAUAAAAUAGAGACAGAAUUUGUGCUAUCAGCCACAGUCAUCCAUUUUGUAAUUAUGUAAUUAUCCAUUUUUGUAAUUAUUAAAAGAUAACAUUACAGUAAGAGUAUCAGUGUAUGGGUUUCCAUAUUUCAGAUAUAUAGUUGCAAGUCUUGUUCUUUAUCAUGUAAAUGUGCAUUAGCCACAGGGAAUCUG